rnacentral:lncRNA from 1 species
GUUGGUACAUACUAAAAUCAAUAGGAUAGGUAAAUACUAUGACUUAUCAUGUGAAAGUAUUUACUGUAACGGAUAUACGUCUGACUUAAAUUGUCGCCCUAAAUAUUGUUUGUGUAUCUAUAUGCAUAUAAAUUUCUCCUUGGACGGAACACUAUCUGUUACACAUGUUACAUUGAUAAAAACUCCGGUUUAUGAAUAUGAUUGUUUUCAGCUUACACCACUAUUACAGUAUAGAACAUUAAUCCAGAAAUAAAAUAUCAACCAGCAUUGAAGAAUUUAUGGUUUCCAUUGUUAAUCAUAGUACA